AAGGACAUGCAUAUCAUUCCCAUUCCAGGAUCUGAGGGCGGCAGCGUUUCAAUUUACAAGCAGAGCAGAAUAGAGGAACUGAAAUGAUAUAACCAAGUUACAUACAUGACCUGGUCAAUGUAAGAGAGAACUGAGCAAGAAGAGGAAUUGAAAUGCUUUGUUAUAAAAGCAAUGCCUGCAUGAAAAUGCAACAAAUUGUAUCAAUCCAUUUCCUCGAAAAUUGCUUUGACCUCAUCACCCGAGUUUCGUGAGGUUUUUUGGAAACAUGGCUGCGGAGAAUCCUUCAGAUGGAGAUACAAUAAAGCAAGAAACUGCAUCAUAUAGCCAUCCAGCAUUGAAAGUGGGUUCCAAUGAAAACAGAAAAGAUACAAGCAAGAGCAAGGAGGAUGGAACUAAAACAGUACCACUUUACAAACUUUUCUCGUUUGCUGAUUCCAUGGAUUACCUGUUAAUGUUUGUUGGAACAAUCAGCGCUAUUGGUAAUGGACUCGUUACGCCACUGCUGGCCAUAGUCUUUGGAGAUCUAAUUAAUUCCUUUACAGAAACUGGGAAUAACAAAAGAGUGGUUGAUGCAGUUUCCAAGGUGGCUCUAGAGUAUGUUUACCUGGCUCUUGGGGGUGCUGCUGCAUCAUUUCUACAGAUGUCUUGUUGGAUGGUCACUGGAGAGAGACAGGCAGCACGAAUACGAAGUUUAUACUUGAAGACCAUACUGAGGCAAGAUGUCAGCUUCUUCGAUCAAGAAAUCAACUCUGGCGAAAUUAUUGGGAGGAUGUCAGGUGAUACUGUGCUUAUUAAAGAGGCGAUGGGGGAGAAGGUAUAUAAUUUUAUCCAAAUAGUUGCUACAUUCAUGGGCAGCUAUGUAAUAGCAUUUUUUAAGGGUUGGCUUCUCACCCUUGCCAUGCUAUCCUCUAUUCCUCCUAUUGUCCUCUCUGGUGCUGUAAUGAACCAUUUAAUAGUGAAAUUGGCAUCCAAUGGACAAGCUGCAUAUUCAGGAGGAGCAACUGUGGUAGAGGAGACAAUUGGUUCUAUCAAAACUGUUGCAUCGUUUACAGGGGAGAAGGAAGCUAUAUCUAAGUACAAUAACUCGUUGAAUAAAGCUUACAAGUCCGGUGUGCAGGAGGGUUGGGCAUCUGGUUUGGGUUCUGGAGUACUUACCCUAAUGGUAUAUUGUACUUACGCUUUGGCUGUAUGGUUUGGCGGAAUACUGAUUCUUGAGAAAGGAUAUAAAGGUGCAGAUGUCAUGGCAGUAAUGUUUGCUGUCCUAAUUGGCUCUAUGUCUCUUGGGAAAGCAUCUCCUUGUAUCAGUGCAUUUGCUUCUGGACAAGCUGCAGCUUAUAAAAUGUUUGAGACAAUUAACAGAAAGCCCGAGAUAGAUACAUAUGAUACUUCUGGGACGGUAUUACAAGAUAUUCAUGGAGACAUAGAAUUGAGAAAUGUUUGUUUUACUUAUCCCACAAGACCAGAUGAGCAAAUAUUCCAUGGAUUUAGUCUCUCAAUACCCAGUUGUGCAACUGUUGCUUUGGUUGGAGAAAGUGGAAGUGGUAAAUCAACUGUAAUCAGUUUGAUCGAGAGAUUUUAUGACCCCCAGGCUGGUGAAGUUCUUAUUGAUGGUGUUAAUAUCAAAGAGUUCCAACUGAAAUGGAUCAGGCAGAAAAUAGGCCUUGUGAGCCAGGAACCAGUUUUGUUUACUGGUAGCAUCAGAGAUAAUAUUGCGUUUGGAAAGGACGGUGCUACUACUGAAGAGAUAACAGCUGUCACUGAGUUUUCUAAUGCUGCUAAAUUCAUAGCUUUAUUGCCCCAGGGAAUAGAUACAACGGUUGGUGAGCAUGGAACUCAACUAUCUGGAGGGCAAAAGCAAAGAGUUGCUAUAGCUAGAGCAAUUUUGAAGAACCCUAGAAUUCUGCUUUUAGAUGAAGCAACAAGCGCUCUUGACACAGAAUCUGAGAGAAUUGUGCAGGAGGCACUUGACCGAGUAAUGAUUAACCGGACUACUGUCAUAAUAGCCCACCGCUUGAGCACAAUAAUGAAUGUUGACACCAUUGCUGUGAUACAUCAAGGAACAAUUGCUGAGAAAGGCCCACAUUCUGAGCUAAUCAAGGAUCCCAAUGGAGCAUACAACAGGCUUAUAAGGUUGCAAGAAACUACUUUUGUGUCAGAAGACUUGGAACAUACUGGUCGAAAUUUUGAUAAAUCAUCUCCAAGAUGUAGAAGUCCUAUCUCGUUAUCAAUCUCAAAUGGUAUUCCCACUGCAAGCGGUAUUCUUGAAACAACACCAGGAGAACCUGAUGUUCCUGCUUCAAUACCAUCUAAAGGGCCUCCAAGAGUCCCUCUUCGCCGCCUUGCUUACCUGAACAAGCCAGAGAUCCCAAUGCUACUUCUAGGUACUAUAGGUGCAGCAGUCAAUGGGGUAAUCUUCCCUAUUUAUGGUAGUUUGUUGUGAAAUGUAGUCAAGACUUUCUUUGAGCCACCCCAUUUACUCCAUAUGCAUUCAAAGUUUUGGGCAUCAAUCUUUGUUGUUCUUGGAGUGGUAUCUUUCUUGGCACAUUCAUCAAGAGCAUACCUCUUUGCCGUGGCGGGUGGCAGUUUAAUAAGAAGAGUCCGAGCAAUGUGCUUUGAGAAGGUGGUUUACAUGGAAGUAAGUUGGUUUGAUGAAGCUGAGCACUCAAGUGGUGCAAUUGGGGCAAGGCUUUCUACAGAUGCAGCCUCUUUGAGAGGUCUUGUUGGAGAUGCUCUUGGUUUCUUUGUUCAGAAUACAGCAACUGCAAUUGCGGGGAUGAUUAUUGCUUUUGGUGCAAAUUGGCAAAUUUCUCUUGUAAUCCUUGUUUUGAUACCUCUGUUAGGAAUAAACGGAUAUUUUCAGGUCAAGUACAUGAAAGGUUUCGGUGCAGAAGCACAGAAAGUUUAUGAGGACGCAAGCCAAGUAGCUAGUGAUGCUGUGGGGAGUAUUCGGACAGUUGCCUCCUUUUGUGCUGAAGAGUUGAUGAUUGACUUGUACAAGAAAAAAUGUGAAGGCCCUAUCAGGACAGGGAUAAGACAAGGUUUAAUUUCUGGUAUAGGUUUUGGUGUAUCACUCUUUUUACAGUUUUCAUCAUUUGGCUUAAUUUUCUAUACUGGAGGUCUACUUGUUCAAGCAGGCAAGACAACAUUCACUGAUGUUUUCAGGGCUUUCUUUGCUCUGACUAUUGCCUCUCUUGGACUCGCUCAGUCGAGCUCCCUAGCACCUGAUAUUAGUAAAGGAAUGAGCUCUGCUGCUUCCAUAUUCACAAUUCUUGAAAGGAAAUCAAAAAUAGAUUCUAGUGAUAACUCGGGCAUGACAAUUGAGAAUGUGAAGGGAGAAAUUGAAUUUCACCAUGUCAGUUUCAAUUAUCCUAGUAGACCUGACGUGCCGGUUUUAAACGAUCUUUGCUUAACCAUUAGUCGUGGCAAGACAAUUGCUCUGGUUGGUGAAAGUGGAAGUGGAAAAUCAACAGUGGUCUCUUUGAUCCAGAGAUUUUACAACCCCAGCUCUGGUCAUAUUACAUUGGAUGGAAUCGAAAUUGAGAAAUUACAGUUGAGGUGGUUGAGACAGCAAAUGGGGCUGGUGAGCCAGGAGCCUCUGCUGUUUAAUGACACUAUCCGAGCCAACAUUGCAUAUGGAAAGGAAGGAGAGGCAACCGAGGCUGAAAUUAUAGCUGCAGCAAAAAUGGCAAAUGCAGACAAGUUCAUUAGUAGUUUACAACAUGGUUAUGAUACAAUUACUGGAGAGCGAGGGGUCCAAUUAUCGGGUGGACAGAAGCAAAGAGUUGCUAUUGCAAGAGCUAUUAUGAAGGCACCAAAGAUAUUAUUACUAGAUGAAGCGACAAGUGCUCUUGACGCUGAAUCAGAACGCGUGGUUCAAGAUGCAUUGGACCGAGUUAUGGUGGAUCGAACUGCAAUUGUGAUUGCUCACCGGUUAUCCACAAUCAAGGGUGCAGAUGUAAUUGCUGUGGUGAAAAAUGGAGCUGUUGCGGAGAAAGGAAAGCAUGAAACUUUGAUGAAUAUCAGUAAUGGCAUAUAUGCUUCUUUGAUAGCAUUGCAUGUAAGUGCCUCAUCUUAA